rnacentral:sRNA from 1 species
UCAGCGGAGUCACUGCGCCGUAUCAACUGGCCGCACCGUGCAGGCGGGCGUGGGGGUCAGCGAGAGCAGAGCGUCCUCCCAGGGGUGUCCCCAGACUGCCCAGAGGGCAGCCGCCUCACAGAUUAGAGAUGGAGUUUCACUGUGUCGGCCAGGCUGGUCUCAAACCCCCUGAGUUCAGGUGAUCCACCUGCCUCAGCCUCGCAGUGUUGGAAUUACAGAUCUCCAUUUGCCGGGAGAUGCCCAGCCUGGAGGUGAUCACGCUCAGCAUCUCCACCCUGGAGCCUGUGAGCCGGUGCCAGCGCCUGAGCGAGCUGUACCUGCGGAGGAACCACAUCCCCAGCCUGGCUGAGCUCUUCUACCUGAAGGGGCUGCCGCGUCUGCGGGUGCUGUGGCUGGCCGAGAACCCGUGCUGCGGCACCAGCCCCCACCGCUACCGCAUGACCGUGCUGCGCACCCUGCCGCGCCUACAGAAGCUGGACAACCAGGCUGUGACGGAAGAGGAGCUGUCCCGUGCACUGAGUGAGGGAGAGGAGAUCACCGCCGCCCCGGAGAGAGAGGGCACAGGCCAUGAUGGCCCCAAGCCAUGCUUCACACUGAGCUCCCUCAGCUCCGCUGCCGAGACUGGCCGGGACCCGCUGGACAGUGAGGAGGAGGCAACCAGCGCCCAGGGUGAACUUGGCCUGAAGCCCGCUUCCCAGGACCAGUUUCCUUCCUUCUCACCCAGGGAUGCCUCGAGCAGCCACAGGAGCAGGAACGUCCUGACUGCCAUCCUGCUGCUGCUGCGGGAGCUGGACGCAGAGGGGCUGGAGGCCGUGCAGCAGACUGUGGGCAGCCGGCUGCAGGCCCUGCGUGGGGAGGAGGUGCAGGAGCACGCCGAGUGACCGCAGGACCUGAGCGCCGCUCCACCCUCCACGGGGACCCCAGCGUCUUCCCCAGCCCCCGGGAGCUGGAGGGUGGCUGCCACGGCCGCAGCCCCGGACCCACACAAAAGCCUCCCCGGUUUGCCACAUCGGCCGAGGGCAGGAGUGGGUGUUAGGUACUGGCUAACCGGGGUGGUGGAGAUGCCUGUCCACACCAGUCCUGUCCCCAGGACUCCCCUUCUGUGGUCUGGAGGUUCUGGGCUGGCCUGGGCUCCUAAAGGGAGGAUUUUGCAGGCUGUCCUCCCUAAUAAAAGAUUUUCCCAAGGUU